CAACAAGCAUUUAAAACUUAUUUUUAAGCCAAAGAAGAACUGUGUAGGUCUGAUCUGUAAAAGGACAGGACGUCUGCAGAGUUCCUGCUGUUCAGGAUCAGCCUCCUUCUACAUACGGGACGUCUGCAGAGUUCCUGCUGUUCAGGAUCAGCCUCCUUCUACAUGUUCAACUUACAGCAGCCACUCUAUGACCACCAGGAUGGAGGCCUCCUUCGCGGGUAUGCCGACGGCAGUCAACACGAACAGAGUGGUCACUGCCCCGGUAGCUGGGAUCCCGG